UUACCCCAACUUAAGUAAGAUUACCCGCUGAAUUUAAGCAU
rnacentral:rRNA from 1 species